rnacentral:rRNA from 1 species
CCACCACCAAAGCAUUUGCUGUACCGCGUUGACGGAGCGAAGCGACGUCAAACCGAUAAAACAGCAGUGUAAAGUGAGCCGCAGGGCGCUUUGCGCGACAGCGCAAAGGCAGGCGGUUUCGCGUAGCGAAAGCGAAUGCUUUGGGGUGGGGUGACUGCGUACCUUUUGUAUAAUGGGUCAGCGACUUAUAUUCUGUAGCAAGGUUAACCGAAUAGGGGAGCCGGAGGGAAACCGAGUCUUAAUUGGGCGUUAAGUUGCAGGGUAUAGACCCGAAACCCGGUGAUCUAGCCAUGGGCAGGUUGAAGGUUGGGUAACACUAACUGGAGGACCGAACCGACUAAUGUUGAAAAAUUAGCGGAUGACCUGUGGCUGGGGGUGAAAGGCCAAUCAAACCGGGAGAUAGCUGGUUCUCCCCGAAAGCUAUUUAGGUAGCGCCUCGUGAAUUCAUCUCCGGGGGUAGAGCACUGUUUCGGCUAGGGGGCCAUCCCGGCUUACCAACCCGAUGCAAACUGCGAAUACCGGAGAAUGUUAUCACGGGAGACACACGGCGGGUGCUAACGUCCGUCGUGAAGAGGGAAACAACCCAGACCGCCAGCUAAGGUCCCAAAGUCAUGGUUAAGUGGGAAACGAUGUGGGAAGGCCCAGACAGCCAGGAUGUUGGCUUAGAAGCAGCCAUCAUUUAAAGAAAGCGUAAUAGCUCACUGGUCGAGUCGGCCUGCGCGGAAGAUGUAACGGGGCUAAACCAUGCACCGAAGCUGCGGCAGCGACACUGUGUGUUGUUGGGUAGGGGAGCGUUCUGUAAGCCUGCGAAGGUGGCCUGUGAGGGUUGCUGGAGGUAUCAGAAGUGCGAAUGCUGACAUAAGUAACGAUAAAGCGGGUGAAAAGCCCGCUCGCCGGAAGACCAAGGGUUCCUGUCCAACGUUAAUCGGGGCAGGGUGAGUCGACCCCUAAGGCGAGGCCGAAAGGCGUAGUCGAUGGGAAACGGGUUAAUAUUCCCGUACUUGGUGUUACUGCGAAGGGGGGACGGAGAAGGCUAUGUUGGCCGGGCGACGGUUGUCCCGGUUUAAGCGUGUAGGUGUGUGUUCCAGGUAAAUCCGGUUCACUUUAACACUGAGGCGUGACGACGAGGCACUACGGUGCUGAAGCAACAAAUGCCCUGCUUCCAGGAAAAGCCUCUAAGCAUCAGGUAACAUCAAAUCGUACCCCAAACCGACACAGGUGGUCAGGUAGAGAAUACCAAGGCGCUUGAGAGAACUCGGGUGAAGGAACUAGGCAAAAUGGUGCCGUAACUUCGGGAGAAGGCACGCUGACACGUAGGUGAAGUGAUUUACUCAUGGAGCUGAAGUCAGUCGAAGAUACCAGCUGGCUGCAACUGUUUAUUAAAAACACAGCACUGUGCAAACACGAAAGUGGACGUAUACGGUGUGACGCCUGCCCGGUGCCGGAAGGUUAAUUGAUGGGGUCAGCGCAAGCGAAGCUCCUGAUCGAAGCCCCGGUAAACGGCGGCCGUAACUAUAACGGUCCUAAGGUAGCGAAAUUCCUUGUCGGGUAAGUUCCGACCUGCACGAAUGGCGUAAUGAUGGCCAGGCUGUCUCCACCCGAGACUCAGUGAAAUUGAACUCGCUGUGAAGAUGCAGUGUACCCGCGGCAAGACGGAAAGACCCCGUGAACCUUUACUAUAGCUUGACACUGAACAUUGAGCCUUGAUGUGUAGGAUAGGUGGGAGGCUUUGAAGUGUGGACGCCAGUCUGCAUGGAGCCGACCUUGAAAUACCACCCUUUAAUGUUUGAUGUUCUAACGUGGACCCGUUACCCGGGUUGCGGACAGUGUCUGGUGGGUAGUUUGACUGGGGCGGUCUCCUCCUAAAGAGUAACGGAGGAGCACGAAGGUUGGCUAAUCCUGGUCGGACAUCAGGAGGUUAGUGCAAUGGCAUAAGCCAGCUUGACUGCGAGCGUGACGGCGCGAGCAGGUGCGAAAGCAGGUCAUAGUGAUCCGGUGGUUCUGAAUGGAAGGGCCAUCGCUCAACGGAUAAAAGGUACUCCGGGGAUAACAGGCUGAUACCGCCCAAGAGUUCAUAUCGACGGCGGUGUUUGGCACCUCGAUGUCGGCUCAUCACAUCCUGGGGCUGAAGUAGGUCCCAAGGGUAUGGCUGUUCGCCAUUUAAAGUGGUACGCGAGCUGGGUUUAGAACGUCGUGAGACAGUUCGGUCCCUAUCUGCCGUGGGCGCUGGAGAACUGAGGGGGGCUGCUCCUAGUACGAGAGGACCGGAGUGGACGCAUCACUGGUGUUCGGGUUGUCAUGCCAAUGGCACUGCCCGGUAGCUAAAUGCGGAAGAGAUAAGUGCUGAAAGCAUCUAAGCACGAAACUUGCCCCGAGAUGAGUUCUCCCUGAGACUUAGAGUCUCCUGAAGGAACGUUGAAGACGACGAC